GGGUGAGUAACACGUGGAUAACCUACCUAUAAGACUGGGAUAACUUCGGGAAACCGGAGCUAAUACCGGAUGAUAUUUUGAACCGCAUGGUUCAAAAGUGAAAGACGGUCUUGCUGUCACUUAUAGAUGGAUCCGCGCUGCAUUAGCUAGUUGGUAAGGUAACGGCUUACCAAGGCAACGAUGCAUAGCCGACCUGAGAGGGUGAUCGACCACACUGGAACUGAGACACGGUCCAG
rnacentral:rRNA from 1 species